AACCUUUGCUGUCUUGGGACGGAUCACCGCUGCAAGAGGGGAAGUUGCUACUGUGAUGAAUUCUGCCAUGUGGCACCAGACUGCCACCCAGACCACAGUGUCCUCUGCAACCCUGGUAACUCACAUACAGGCCCGAUUCCACCUACAGCAAAGCUGGAUGCGAUGGCUGGCAGAGGCAAACCCUUUGCCUGCACUUCAGGCCAAAGCCGGGAUGUGGCCUAGAUGGUUCCUAAGGUCCCUGACAAUCCUGAGAUCUUGCAUCUUGUCUAUUUCAGGUCAAAGCUUCUCAGAUGACCAAGAUGGUGCUGCAGAUGGUGCUGAGGAUGGAGAACCCACCAAGCCCCGCUAGGAGCCACCUAGACUGGAUGCAGAGCAUGGUGAAAAUGGAGGUUUCCUCCUCCUGUGGCUGAGUGUGGCUUCCCCGGAAGACCUCACUGACCCCAGAGUGGCAGAAAGGCUGAUGCAGCAGCUCCACCGGGAACUCCACGCCCACGCGCCUCACUUCCAGGUCUCCUUACUGCGUGUCAGGAGAGGCUAACGGACAUCAGCUGCAGCCAGGCAUGUCCCGUAUGCCAAAAGAGGGUGCUGCCCCUAGCCUGGGCCCCCACCGACAGACUGCAGCUGCGUUACUGUGCUGAGAGGUACCCAGAAGGUUCCCAUGAAGGG
rnacentral:misc_RNA from 1 species